GGGCUGGUAGUUCAACCUGGUAGAAUGCUCCGCUGGCAGCGGAGAGGCUGCGGGUUCAAAAGCGAGAGACUGCACUCUACGCGUACUGGCGUACGGUUGGGCAUUCCUACAGAAGCCCAACAGGACUCUGGAAUAUGUGAUCUCUUGUUGAAGGUCCCGCCCAGUCCA
rnacentral:tRNA from 1 species